rnacentral:rRNA from 1 species
ACCUACGGGGGGCAGCAGUAGGGAAUCUUCCACAAUGGGCGAAAGCCUGAUGGAGUAACGCCGCGUGGGUGAAGAAGGUCUUCGGAUCGUAAAACCCUGUUGUUAGAGAAGAAAGUGCGUGAGAGUAACUGUUCACGUUUCGACGGUAUCUAACCAGAAAGCCACGGCUAACUACGUGCCAGCAGCCGCGGUAAUACGUAGGUGGCAAGCGUUAUCCGGAUUUAUUGGGCGUAAAGGGAACGCAGGCGGUCUUUUAUGUCUGAUGUGAAAGCCUUCGGCUUAACCGGAGUAGUGCAUUGGAAACU